rnacentral:tRNA from 1 species
UCUAUAGCUCAGUUGGGAGAGCGUUAGACUGAAGAAUUUCGGUCAUUUUUGACAUCUAAAGGUCGCUGGUUCGAUCCCGGCUGGA